rnacentral:rRNA from 1 species
AUUGAACGCUGGCGGCAGGCCUAACACAUGCAAGUCGAGCGGAUGAAGGGAGCUUGCUCCUGGAUUCAGCGGCGGACGGGUGAGUAAUGCCUAGGAAUCUGCCUGGUAGUGGGGGAUAACGUCCGGAAACGGGCGCUAAUACCGCAUACGUCCUGAGGGAGAAAGUGGGGGAUCUUCGGACCUCACGCUAUCAGAUGAGCCUAGGUCGGAUUAGCUAGUUGGUGGGGUAAAGGCCUACCAAGGCGACGAUCCGUAACUGGUCUGAGAGGAUGAUCAGUCACACCGGAACUGAGACACGGUCCAGACUCCUACGGGAGGCAGCAGUGGGGAAUAUUGGACAAUGGGCGAAAGCCUGAUCCGGCCAUGCCGCGUGUGUGAAGAAGGUCUUCGGAUUGUAAAGCACUUUAAGUUGGGAGGAAGGGCAGUAAGUUAAUACCUUGCUGUUUUGACGUUACCAACAGAAUAAGCACCGGCUAACUUCGUG